rnacentral:rRNA from 1 species
GUAGGGGCCAAACGUUAUCCGGAUUUAUUGGGCGUAAAGGGCUCGUAGGCGGUUCAACAAGUCGGCCGUGAAAGCUCGGGGCUCAACCCCGAGAUGCCGGUCGAAACUGUUGUGACUAGGGUCCGGUAGAGGUGAGUGGAAUUCUCGGUGUAGCGGUGGAAUGCGCAGAUAUCGAGAGGAACACCAGUAGCGAAGGCGGCUCACUGGGCCGGUACCGACGCUGAGGAGCGAAAGCGUGGGGAGCAAACAGGAUUAGAUACCCUGGUAGUCCACGCUGUAAACGUUAACACUAGGUGUGGCGGAUUUAUUGACAUCUGCCGUACCGCAGCUAACGCAUUAAGUGUUCCGCCUGGGGGAGUACGGCCGCAAGGCUA